AGAAAUACCCAGCAGGAGAGAUACCAUGGUCACAAAGUUGAUUUACCAUGGCAAGGCUUAUUAUACAUUGCACUCAGGAUGUGCUGAGCCACUGCAAUUUCUCCAAAUGCUGGGAAAUUUAACUGUAUAAUUUGUGGUGAUAGGGGGACUGAGUUGUGCUCUCCCAGU
rnacentral:snRNA from 1 species